rnacentral:lncRNA from 10 species
UGCUGGUGGUGGUCCUGGGUUUACAGUUUGAGAAUCUUUGUUCAGGGCAAGGAUCGGGGUGGAGAGUUUCCAGAUGUGGCUGAAGGCAAACAGUAAUUGCCCGGUUUAAUGGAAGAUGGUUAAGCCUGUGUUGGACAUCUGCUGUCUUUGCCGCCCUAGUCUGCAUUUCCCAGUAUUCUGCCAGCAGAAACGUGAGUUGACUUUGGAGGCAUUCUGCGUUGCAUGGAUUAUUGCAUAUCCUCUGGGCUGGGCUCCCAGCUUUUCCUAUAGUCCCCUAUAGCAUGUUCUCAGGACAGCAGUUCUCAAUGCAGAGUGAUCCUUUUGAAGUAUGUCAGAUCAUGUGACUCCUCUGUUUCAAAGCCCCCAACACCUACCUGUCUCCCUUAAAGGCCAGUAUCUGUGCAACGGUUCAGAGUCUUGCACAUCUCUGUCCCUCCUCACUGUUCUGAAUUGACGCCCUAUCACUCUUCCCUCAUACAUUCUGCCCCUGCCAUGCUGACUUCACUGCUGUUUCUCAAUCUUCCCAGGCUCAUUCCCACCUCUGGGUCUUUGCUCUUCCUCUUUCCUUUGCCAGGAACCAUCUUAUUCCAGGAAUAUCACUGGCUUGCUGCCUCAUGUCCUUCACGUUUUGUAAGAAAUAGAUCUUCCGGAACCACCUUGUUUAAGAAAGUACUCUCCGGUGUCUAUUCCCUUGCUCUAUCUACUUUUUCUUCAGUAUCACUUAUCACUUGGCAUAUAUUUAUUUGCAUACUGUCUGCCUCUUCUUCAAAGACAUAAAUUCCAGCAAGGCGGGGAUGCAUUAGGUUUAUUCUUAUAGCCAGUGUCAUUGUUAUUUCUCCCUUUCUUUCUGUUAAUCUCAUCUCUGCCUGUCUUUCAGGUAUUCGGUGCUCACACAUCAAUCCCUGGCUUCCCAGCGUCCCUCAGCAAACAUCCCCUUCUCCUGAUGCAAAAUAACCUCUCUCCUAUUGUUAUUAUCCCACAUGGUUCUAUUACUCAAUGCAGAGUGGCAUUGAGCAAAUUCACUCCAAGGUAUGAGAGUACUUGCAGGUGAAACAUUUUUUGUUAUAUCCAGAUUCAUAUCUCAUUGGUGGAAUUUUAGGCAACCUGUCAAAAUUGUAUGUUUGUAGCGGAUGCUUAGGAAAUCAAGAGAUUUCAUAGAAAACUCCAAUUCUCAGUUCUCCUAAACAUUGGACAACCUGCCAAAGUUCCUCCUGGCAUCACUGCCUGGAGCUGACACUCAUCUGGCCCUUUGGAUAAGAAGUGGAUUCUCCCCACAGUCCCCAGCAGGCCCCUUCAACUCAUGUAUAUGUUCCUGUGUCCAUGUAUAUGGAAUGUGUCCCAGACUUGGUGCAGGUGAAUUUCAGAAAACUAUCCUUCCAAGAUUGUUGCCAUUGCUGUGAAGUGUUUCCACCUGCUCUGGGGCCAUGGAAGAGAAAACUUCCAAGUAUCUUUAUGUUAACUGAUUUUUCCAGUGGACCACAAUUCACAGAAAAACCUGCUUAUGGGCCAAGCCUGGAGAACAAUCAAUGGGACAAGGAGGAGAAAACUUACCUCUAUUUAAUCAGCUCCACGUUUCUGACAAAUGUGAAGAGCAACUGUGAAUACAGCUCGGCUGCUUAAUUCCAGACUGUUUUAUGUUGGAGCAUCACUCUUCUCUCCAAAACUUUGUCAAGAUCGUUUUACCAAGAGCACUUGCUGGAAAGCCUUUUUGGAGAAAAAGGCAAAUAACGUAUUCUGUGAGGCAGUAAAGCAGCCACUUAGAGACACAGUACUUUGAUUAUACUCUUUGAAAGACAGAGAGAAUUAGAUUUUAACAACUAUUCCAAAUCUCUCACCUAAGGGGUAGAAUUAUAAAAGAGCUCCGCAUCACCCUUGUUAUUACUACAUAUUUGGACAAGGGAAAAAUUCAAAAUAAAGUUAUUUAUAAAAAAUGCUCAUUUUUUCAUAAGGCUGUGCAAUAUGUGAUUUGUUAGCACAAAUUGGAGUGUGGAGGGCAUGUGUGUUGAAUUUGGCCUGAGGGAUCCUCCUAAUGGUUUAGGCAACAGAUGAGUGUCCCUACAUUCACUAGUUUCCUUAAAUAAACCACGGAAGCUUUAGAGGAAAGGUUUCUUUUAUUUUUUCUUUCCAAUUUGUAUUUUAGGGUCAGGGGUUCUUGU